UUCUUCAUGAAUAUCUGGUCGUUGCCAUGACUCUUAGUUCGUGAUCUCGGAUCGGGGGCAUGACACCUAAUCACUAGGACCUUCUAAUUACUUCAAGAUAUUGUUUAGAGGAUCAAUUGGCUAGAACUUCCUCAUUGAAGAAAUAACUUUCCACUUGGAAAUCAAGACCAAUAAUAUAUAAUUAGUUUGUUUAACUUCUUCUAGGUUACCACUGGAAGAAAAGAAUCCGAUGCCAAGGUCAUUCUCUACCAAACAACACGUUAAAAUUCUUCUGUAGAAAUUUCCCCUGCAUAGUGUUCGAAUGUGUGAUCUGAUCCCUUGUAUCAUACUAGUACUGCUAGUUAUUCCUGCUUCAUAAUUUGCUAAACGGCUCCCAGAAGGAAUCAGAGACACAAUAAUGAAUCUCAAUCCAUUACUGAAGUAUACCUUUCCUUCGAAGAGUAUAUAGGCUUCGUUCUAUACCACCUAGAGGCUAUCCCUAAAAGAAGGUUGUAUUUAGAUAUUCUUUCCUCGACCAUUUCUCUGAGAGUGAUGUUAUGACGUGAGUACUUCCUCCAAUUUUCUAGCAAUAUCUUCUCUCAUCUUUCACUUAUGCCCGAUCAACAUCCUCCUUUUGUCCUAGAAAUCCCUCGAUGAUAUGGUUUCAUGCAGUGGUUACAUCUAAUUGAAUAUAUUCUCCAAGUUGAAUUUAUUCCAACAUCAUAAUAUGCCUUCAUCUUUUUGAGUUGGCGAACCAGCCCCAGCUAAUGAGGAUAUGUUCAAAUAAUUUCUGUCUUUUUGCACUCACUAGAAGAUCUAGAUGGUGAGCUUCUCAAUCUGUUGAAACCUAAAUUCCAUCCAGACAAACCAAGCGAGGAGUUUGAUGUAGAUCAGACCAAGUAUACUGCCAACAGGCUAUUAGGAAAUCAAUUAAUUGCAAAGCCUAAAUAUUGUGAACAAAUUCCUCCAUAUCAUGUUGAAAACUUAGGCUAUCAUUUAUUUGAUGCUGGCCUCAGUGCUAGAGUUACCUCAUUGCGCGCGCUCUCUCUCUCUCGCACUCUCUCCCAGCUCCCCUUCCCCCCGCUUCUUUCUUUCUUUCUUUUCGAGUACCCAUGGGAAACCGUCCUCGAGUUUACAAACCCGGCAAAAUAGGAGAAUGCACGAACAUUUCAAGUCACUCAUUUCGUCGAGCAUCAGACGUGCACUCGGGGACCAGUUCGGUUGCCAAAACUCGCUCCCAGUCGAGCCUCCGCGUGUGGUCGUUGAUCUCAUGUCCCUGGGAAUGGGAUCACCUGAGAGGACUAAUCCGAGCCUGGCAGUAGGAGCUUGAAGCUUUUCAUACGCUGGAGGAUUCAAAACAUCCGCUAAACCUUUUGACCACCAGUAUCCCUAUGAUCCAUCCUUUGGAUGAACUGAGAGGGAAAGGGAAAGAAAGAUUAUUGAAGAUCUGAAUCUCUUGUGGUGAAGUUGCUGGUGAACUCAAAUGAGUUGAAACCUACACCAUGAGAGGCUCCCCCAGUCUCAAUCCUCUAGAAGACGAGAUCAAUUUGAGGCUAGUAAGGAUGGUACAUAUGAUUUCAAAGGGUAAUGCGAUCUGUUGACGGUGACCGAAGAUAGGACACUUGUGCCAGCGGUGCUUUCCAUGCCCAUCCAAUGCUUUCAAAUACAGAGAGUUUUAUGCGAGGCAGUACUUGGACUUGGAGUGGACUACUAUCUAUCAGGGAGCUUCUCAGAGUAUCAACAGGAUAGGAUAAAUGAGACCUUACCAUGCUCCAUCUUUCAUCAAGAAAUUCGUUGAGUGCUACUGCAUUCUGUCCAUAGGUCAAGGGAGAGGCCCAGUAUCCCCAAAGCAGCCAUGGUUGGAUAUUGUCUGAUUGAAGAGACAAAUUUAGUCGGGAUGGAAAUGAACAACUAUACAGGUAUUAUUCAUCUGAGUAGAAGAAAUCAGAAUAACUAUCCAGGUAAUAUUCAUCCGAGUAGAAGAAAUACCUUUAUAUUCAUUAAGAUUCAAAUAACUAACUUGACAUCAUUUUCUGGUUGAAAUUAUGGUCAUUUGGUGGAAAUUAUGGCUUCAAAGGAAUGAUAAAAUCUUCAAUGGGAAGAGUAAGAAUUGGUUUCAGUUGUUCAUGAGAUGUAGUCCAGCUGGAAGAAUAGAGUUAUGUUUAUUCUGAGAAGUUUGAGUGUAAUGUUGGUCCAUUUGAGAAAAAUCUUAUAUCCUUUAGUAUCUCAGCUUCCUCUUUUAAAUGUUUAAUGUUUGCACUCAUUUCCUUUCUUUUUUCUUGGUAGAACAUUUUCUUUCACAUAAAAUAUAUCAAUGGAGAACCCAUAUUUUACUCUCAAAAAAUGAAAAAUAAAACUAACUUAAUAUCAGAAAGUAUGAAUUUCUUUGAAACAUUGAAGAAAAUAGCCAUUUGUUUUCAAUUAACUUGCAAUAUGCGCGUUUGUUUUUUCUUUCCUUUUUUUAUUGAUAUUUGAGCUUUACUGCUAUCUCAAAAAAAAGAGCUUUAUUUUGCUAGUACAAUAUUUUUCAGCUUGAUAACGCUUAGGUCCUAUAGCCAAACAACUAGCAUGGGUGAGCAUCCACAAGCCUAGACCAGGAACAAUGCCCAACCAAGCUACUUAUAAUAUGUUCAAUCGUGGAGCAUUUUCUUAACCACAUUACUAAAGCUCUGCUCUCCUGCACUACAUUUGUACCAUUAUUUUUAAAAUCGGACUAGACUGGCUGGUUCGACCUGUCGAACUGGGAACCGAUCGCCUGUCCAGUUCAAAGGAUAUAUAAAAGGUAGUCAAAACUCGGUCAAACCUAGGAAAAUUGGACAAACUGGUCAGUCUGGCUGGUCCAGUCCGGUUUGGCCCCUUUUUUUUUAAUAAAAAAAAUUCUUUUAGUCAUUGGGAAACCCUAAUUCUUCGAUGAUUAUUUGUACAAAUAUUGCACCAUAUUUUGGCACCAAUUGAUGAUUAUUUGAACUCUCUUCUUCCACUGAAUUCCGGGGUGAACUACUGUGGUGUUUUCUGAAGUGAAGUUGUAAUGAGAGAUUAGUUCGAAUGCAAUUGCAGAAGGUUUAGCUAGCACAGGUGGUUGAAGAUUUAUAUUGAAAGAUGUCAUUGUUUCUUUUUGCAAAUCCUAUCAGUUUUUCAUUAUUAUUCUUGUAGUUACCCACUGCGAUAUCCAUCUCGUAGCUUGCAUCCUCUUAAUUGGUCUGAUUCUACUUUCUGAAGUUCUUGCAUGAUAUUCCAGUAUAUGUGCUAAUGGACUUCUAUCUUGUGACAUUUUCAUGUACCUUAUAUCAGAUUAGUACCAUGUACUAUAUUUGCUGGGUUCCUACUACAGAAUCUAGACUCGAUAGACUAAUUUUAUGUUCAUCAUUUCUUAAUAAGUACCUUGCAUUAUCCUAUUAGAAAUGUUGAUCAUCAUUUCUUAGUAGGUGCUUAUUGUUCGAAGCUUUGUAUCGUUUUGCAUGGUUGUUAAAUGAAUGGGGCUGAAUGGAUAGAGACACAUGAGCUUCAAAAUAUAAUGCUCCUUAAUUGAUCAAGGCAUGCAGAUGAUACAAGUUUUGAAUCGUACAAACAUUAAUCACCAAAGUACUGCACCCUAAACUGCAUGUGACUAUGGUACUUGAAUUAUGGAUUGUUGGAUUAUGUAUGCGGACUUUGUUACGAUGAUGGUUGAUAGAUUUGCUAGGAUGAUGUAUUUGAAUAAUUGAAUUUGAAUCGUAUGUGUAACUUUGUUUGGAUGAUGUAUUUGCACAUGGAUUUGAACUCUGUAUGAGGACUUUGUUGGGAUCAUAAUUUA